AGUGAACGCUGGCGGUAGGCCUAACACAUGCAAGUCGAACGGCAGCACAGUAAGAGCUUGCUCUUACGGGUGGCGAGUGGCGGACGGGUGAGGAAUACAUCGGAAUCUACUUUUUCGUGGGGGAUAACGUAGGGAAACUUACGCUAAUACCGCAUACGUCCUACGGGUGAAAGCAGGGGAUCUUCGGACCUUGCGCGAUUGAAUGAGCCGAUGUCGGAUUAGCUAGUUGGCGGGGUAAAGGCCCACCAAGGCGACGAUCCGUAGGUGGUCUGGGAGGAUGAACAGCCACCCUGGAAGUGAGACACGGUCAAGACUCCUGCUGGAGGCAGCAGUAGAGAAUAUUGGACGAUGGGCGCAAGCCUGAUCCUGCCAUACCGCGUGGAUGAAGAAGGCCUUCGGGUUGUAAAGCCCUUUUGUUGGGAAAGAAAAGCAGCAGGUUAAUACCCCGCGAUCAUGACGGUACCCAAAGAAUAAGCACCGGCUAACUUCGUG
rnacentral:rRNA from 1 species